UGGGGAAUUUUGGACAAUGGGCGAAAGCCUGAUCCAGCAAUGCCGCGUGUGUGAAGAAGGCCUUCGGGUUGUAAAGCACUUUUGUCCGGAAAGAAAUCCUUGGCUCUAAUACAGUCGGGGGAUGACGUACCGGAAGAAUAAGCACCGGCUAACUACGUGCCAGCAGCCGCGGUAAUACGUAGGGUGCAAGCGUUAAUCGAAUUACUGGGCGUAAAGCGUGCGCAGGCGGUUUGCUAAGACCGAUGUGAAAUCCCCGGGCUCAACCUGGGAACUGCAUUGGUGACUGGCAGGCUAGAGUAUGGCAGAGGGGGGUAGAAUUCCACGUGUAGCAGUGAAAAUGCGUAGAGAUGUGGAGGAAUACCGAUGGCGAAGGCAGCCCCCUGGCCAAGUACUGACGCUCAUGCACGAAAAGCGUGGGGAGCAAAACAGGAUUAGAUACCCUGGUAGUCCACGCCCUAAACGAUGUCAACUAGUUGUUGGGGGAUUCAUUUCCUUAGUAACGUAGCU
rnacentral:rRNA from 1 species